GAGGUGUGUCAGGUGCAAACUUUGCAACACUGCAGCUGAGGGCCCCAGGUCCCAGCCUGUCUCAGCGGCACUGUUCCGAUGGCGGAAAUCUGGAACUGGCUCAUCGGUCCUCAAGUAGAGGGAUGUGAACACAGCACUCAGAGGCACAGAGGUGCUGGAUGCAGGAAUGGGGAAGUGUCUCUGGGACUCACAGGUUUUUUACUUUCGCCUUGGAUCUCCCUGAAGGAUGAAGCUGUCACUCAGUCCAAUUUGAAACCUUUGUUGCCUGCUGCUCUAGAGGAUCAACCGAACAUUCAUUAUCAUCUUGGUGACAGAUCCUCCUUAAGCUGAUGCUCUGUAUCUAAGUGUGUCUGACUCUUUUGCGACUCCAUGGACCCGCCAGGCUCCUCUGUCCUUGGAAUUCUCCAGGCAAGAAUACUGGAGUGGGUUGCCAUUUCCUCCUCCAGGGGAUCUUCUGGACCCAGGGAUCAAAUUCGCAUCUCCUGCACUGACAGGUGGAUUCUUUACCACUGAGACACCAGGGAAGCCAAUUUUCCCUCACAGAGUUAGACUCAACCCCUGUAAUCACGAGGGAAAACCCUCCCGGGAUUCUCAGUCUUCAUCAUUUAGGCCAUUGCUGAUGAACUCAUCAGAGCCAAGAAAUUUCACGGGGCAUGUGGUCUCCCAGAUGUCUGAUCUCUGUGAUGACAGAGGUGUUUUGUAUCUGUGCUCUCUGAUGUAAUAACCAGUAGCCACUGGGAACAAGUGCACAAUUAAUGCUAAUCAACUGAGCCAAAUGAACUGAUGCAACUAAGGAACUGAGCUUUUAGUUGUAUUUUAUUAUAAUUGUGCUGUGCUUAAUCACUCAGCCGUGUCCGCUCUUUGCGACCCCAUGGACUGUAACCCACCAGUCUCCAAGGGAUUCUCCAGGCAAGAAUACUGGAGUGGGCUGCUAUGCCCUCCUCCAGGGGGUUAAUUUCACUUUAAUUAUCUAGAUGUGCUUUGUGACCACCAGAUUAGAUAGUACCAUUUGGACACUAAUAACUUCUCUCCAGUAUUUGCUUCCUAUCACCUAGAGCGUUGACAUUGUAACCACACUUAGCAAUUUACCUGACUGGUGGGGGCAGGAAGCUUGCACCAUGCUCUGCAGAAUUACCCUUUUUUCUUUCUACUGGAUCACUUCCCUGCACAUGCCUCUAAGGAGCUCAAGCCACAGCUGGGUGGCACCUACAGCUUAGACUUAUUUUCUGCUUCAUGGAGUGGAUUUGCCCUGGCAUCGUUCAGAUAACGAGGCCAGGUCUGAACUCCUCAGGUGUUGUCACCUGUAGGAAACUACUGCCCUGGUUUGGGAGACAUGCUUCAAGCACAGUUGGAUCAGAGAAAACCAGUAGAAUAUGCAGCGGUGGGCAUCUCGACUUCACUGUCGUCUUCCCAAGGUUGGUAGCAGAGACGGAAGAGAUGUCACGAUGAUUUUAGCAGGGGUACCGACAGCGGAGUUCCUUCAGCAUCCCUGUCAACAGCAUCUCUAGUUGCUCCCCUGAACCAACCGGGAGAACCAUAUACUCUAAGGCAACCCAGUGGCCACACCGUCAGCCCCUCCUCCCAACUAGACUGUUAACCAUAAGAUCCCUUCAGAUGAAACUUCUGGAGCUUUCUCAGGUGAGCCUGAUUUGCAUGAAAAUGGUUCACUAGCUUUUCUCUAAAUAGAAAGUCCUUCUAAAGCAGAAAGAUGCAACAGAUAACACGACUUUCCAGAGACAUAACAAUGUAAGAAGCAAGGAUGUACCUGCAUUUUUAUGAAGCAGUGACUGAUGUUCUAAAAUAGACCCAAAGCCCAUGAUGGCAAAGACUUCCUUCCCAGGUGCUUAUAACGCAAUAACAUCAUUACUUAAUAUUGAAAAUUGUUCUCAAACAGUUCGAAUGGAAGACCUGGUGCAGAGAAGGUUUAUUGCAUUACAUGGUAUUGAUCCAGUCUUAUUCUGUCACACACUGAAACUGUGCAUUUGACGAAACAGGUACAUUGUACUGAGAGUUUCAGGGGAGCUGAGAGGUACUUUAUGAACAGUUAGAAAUUUCAAAUUCAAACUUUUCCUUUACUCAGAUGGAGAAGAAAUGGGAUCAUUUACAGGAUGAAUAAAAGGAGGCAAAAAACCCCCAAAAACAGUAUAAGGCUCUGGGGAUUGUCAUGACUAGUCUCUGACACAAGAGGGAAGCAGAAAUUAACUCAAGAUUCUUCUGUAUUUGUUAUCCAAAUUAUCCACACAUAAGCAUUCUUCACAGAGAAGGCAAUGGCACCCCACUCCAGUACUCUUGCCUGGAAAAUCCCAUGGACGGAGGAGCCUGGUAGGCUGCAGUCUAUGGGGUCGCUAAGAGUUGGACACGACUGAGUGACUUCACUUUCACUUUUCACCUUCAUGCAUUGGAGAAGGAAAUGGCAACCCACUCCAGUGUUCUUGCCUGGAGAAUCCCAGGGACAGGGGAGCCUGGUGAGCUGCUGUCUAUGGGGUCACACAGAGUCGGACACGACUCAAGCGACUUAGCAGCAGCAAGCAUUCUUCAUAUAGUAAAAUGGACAAAUUUAAGUAAGAUGGCUCAAUGCUCCCGUGAUGAAAGAAUUGGUUAUUGUUUUAACAUCAGAAAGAGGAUCUACAAUACCUGUUUUUGCUGCCGGGGGAGAUUCUAGAAGGCAAUGCACACAUACUUAUGAGAUUAGAAGUCAAACAAAUGUGGACUCAUCAUGGCUCAAGGUCAUGGUAACUGGGUGACCUCGGGCAAAUUCCAGCUGUUCUGAAAUCUAGUUUCUUCACCUGUAAAACUGGGAUAUACUCAUGCUUCCCAUAACCUAGAAUUGUUGCAAGAAUUCCACAAUAUUCUGUGGGUGGGGGGCACAUAAAGUUCCUAUAAAUGGUAGCUUCUGUAUUUCUUUUUUUUUUUUUUACAAAGUUCAUAUUGUCCAUUCUUGUGAGAAUUAAACAAAAGCAUUUCUCUUGAAAGGUGUUUUUUUUUUUUCUUUUGUAUUGUGUACAGAAAGUGGUUGCUGUCUUCUGUCAUGUGGAAUGUGUGUGUGUGUGUGUGCGUGUGCGUGCGUGUUGGGGGUGUACUUCCUGUUUCUGGGGAAAUUAACUUUCAACUCUCUCCCUUUCCGACACCAUUGCCAUCUUCACUCUUUUCUUCUCUCCUCAGCUUCUGGUAAAUGAGAAGAAACCUUUCAAUUUCAAGUAUGAGUGUUUAUAUGUAACCUGAGGGCUAGGGAAUCGAGGGGCAUAAGUCUCUUAAAAAUAUAAGCUACGAUUUGCAUCUCAAGGAGGAAGGUGGAAAAAUUUGGAAACAUAGAAUAAAAAGAAAGAGAUCUGAAGCAUUCGGAGUUUAACCAAGUUGAAAAUACAUUUCACAAUUAAACAAAAUGACCAAACCAUACAGUUUUAAAUGUGAAAAUUUUCAUGCUAAAAUGAAAUUUGUCCAAUAUUAUAUCAAUAUUAUUUAUGAUUAUCCUCCCCAUUUGAGAAAGUUCUCUGUUUACGACAGAGUAUAAAUCAAAUUUGGGCUUCCCUGGUAGCUCAGUCAGUAAAGAAUUGUCCUGCAGUACAGGAGACUUGGACUCAAUCCCUGAGUCGGGAAGAUCCUCUGGAGAAGGAAAUGGCAACCCACUCCAGUAUUCUUACUUGGAGAAUCCUAUGGACUAAGUGAGGAGCCUGGUGGGCUACAGUCCAUGGGGUCACAAAGAGUCAGACAUGACUUAAUGACUAAACCGCCAUCAAACAAAAUUGCAAAAAAAUCUGCAGAGGCAAUGCUUAAAAUAUGAAAAACAGUAAUUGUUUUAAAGUACAUUAAAGCCUUAUUCAAACAAAAGACAACUGUGAAUAAUUAUUUUCUCUAGUCAUCAGAAGAGACUCUAGAGAGAGCCCAUAUUUGGCAAGAGUUGACCCUAUAUGCCCUCAAAGAAACACUGGUUACUUCAUGUAAUUGCAAUGAUUCAUAUUGAAUUUGCUUAAAAUUCUACCAGGAAGCUGCCUAUAUUCACCAAGAAUUAGUGAGAUUUUACUCAUAUUCAUUUGUCCUAUGACUUCCUUUGCUUCAUAUAUUCACACAUGAAAAGAUAGGAAAUUUCAGCAAAGAAAUAAGAUAAAAAAUCAACUGAAGUUUUAGCAUUGAAAAAAUACAAUAACUAUAAUGAAAACUUACUGAAUCCCAGGGAUGAGGGAGCCUGGUGGGCUGCCGUCUAUGGGGUCGCACAGAGUCGGACACGACUGACGUGACUUAGCAGCAGCAGCAACUGAUGGAAGGAGAAUUCAAACUUCCAAUCAAUGAAUUGGAAGGUAAAAUAGAAUAAUUGUAAUUACUCAACGUGAGAGACAGAGAAAAUCAACUUAAAAAAAC
ensembl:lincRNA